ACGCUGGCGGUAUGCUUAACACAUGCAAGUCGAACGGACUCUUCGGAGUUAGUGGCGGACGGGUGAGUAACGCGUGAGAAUCUGGCUCCAGGUCGGGGACAACAGUUGGAAACGGCUGCUAAUACCGGAUGUGCCGAGAGGUGAAAGAUUUAUUGCCUGGAGAUGAGCUCGCGUCUGAUUAGCUAGUUGGUGGGGUAAGAGCCUACCAAGGCUGCGAUCAGUAGCUGGUCUGAGAGGAUGAUCAGCCACACUGGGACUGAGACACGGCCCAGACUCCUACGGGAGGCAGCAGUGGGGAAUUUUCCGCAAUGGGCGAAAGCCUGACGGAGCAAUACCGCGUGAGGGAGGAAGGCCCUUGGGUUGUAAACCUCUUUUCUUAAGGAAGAAGACAAUGACGGUACUUAAGGAAUAAGCAUCGGCUAACUCCGUGCCAGCAGCCGCGGUAAUACGGAGGAUGCAAGCGUUAUCCGGAAUGAUUGGGCGUAAAGCGUCCGCAGGUGGUUUUGUAAGUCUGCUGUUAAAGCGUGAGGCUCAACCUCAUAUGGGCGGUGGAAACUACAAGACUAGAGUACGUUCGGGGCAGAGGGAAUUCCUGGUGUAGCGGUGAAAUGCGUAGAUAUCAGGAAGAACACCGGUGGCGAAAGCGCUCUGCUAGGCCGUAACUGACACUGAGGGACGAAAGCUAGGGGAGCGAAUGGGAUUAGAUACCCCAGUAGUCCUAGCCGUAAACGAUGGAUACUAG
rnacentral:rRNA from 1 species